rnacentral:rRNA from 1 species
GACGUAGGAUGCGAGCGUUAUUCGGAUUUAUUGGGCGUAAAGCGUGCGUAGGCGGCUAUUUAAGUCUGGUGUUAAAGCUAGGGGCUCAACCCCUGUGAUGCACUGGAUACUGGGUAGCUUGAGUGCGGUAGGGGAAGGUGGAAUUCCGAGUGUAGCGGUGAAAUGCGUAGAUAUUCGGAAGAACACCGGUGGCGAAGGCGACCUUCUGGGCCGCAACUGACGCUGAGGUGCGAGAGCGUGGGGAGCGAACCGG